CAAAAGAGGGACUACAGCUACUAAAUAUGUCGGCUACUCAGUUAUUGGAGAACAAACAGACAUAUUUCUUUCUGGAUAUCUGGAAUAAGGGAAGGAUAAAAGAUGAUGCUUCAAUCUUUCAUAAAAACUCAGCAACUGAUUUCACUUGGCGCUGGCGAGUUGAGUUCGGAGGAGCUUUGCAGCAGCAACCAUGUUCUUGAGAGCAGGAUUCACCUCCGCGUACUUGCGAGUUUUGAGACCACAGUCUGGAUUGACCCAUAAGAUGUUGGUUUCAAGCACUGCAAGCAUCUUGUUGAUCCGGUCUGCGAUCUCUUCGGUUGAUGGUAUUCUAGGGGAGUGAAUGUCGUACACACCGGGGCCAAUUCCAG
rnacentral:misc_RNA from 1 species